GGCUUGUAGGCGUGUUGGUAACUUGUAUGAAGGUCUGGUUAUGAAAUGGGUACAUAGUUAAAUAGUAAUUAUCCUCUAAAACGCUCUGGGGACAAACACACUUUACUGCCCUGUUUCCAAUUGUCCACAUGACUGGAAGAACCUGUUCAAACAUGGUGCUCCGUUCUCGGCGAGACUACAGGACACCUGGCCCUCAUUACGCUCUGGGACAGAACAAGAGGAGACCCUGAGGGCCAUACCAUUCUAAUGUUUCAUCUAUUGGUGUGUUAGAGAGCGCCCACGGAUUAGGCUAUCCACAUUGGAUCUGUCCAAGAUGGCCUUCCUUCCAGAUGGAUCCUCAGGGAGAGAGUACUUGCGCUUCCUUGAGGACAAUAGGGUGACCCCUGACUCAAGGGCAGAUGUGAAGUUUGUGGAUAAUGAAGAGUUGGCGUAUGUUAUGCAGAGAUACAGAGAGGUCCACGAUUUACUGCACAGCUUACUAGGCUUGCCCACUAACAUGCUAGUUGUCUGGAAUCCCUGGUGACGUCCCUGGGGACGUGGGCUGUGAGGAAUGGCCAACAGGCUCGCUGUGUCCUCAGCAUCUUCUACGAGCGAUGCUGGGAGCAGUCUGUAGGACCUAAGACUGGAACUGAACAUCGAGCCUCCCCUGCUGACCGUCACAGCUUCCAGCCAGAGACCACAUCAGACUCAUAGCACUGACCUCUGAUGUCACACUGUGUCUGGUCACACUGUGCAACCAGAUGGUAGAGGAUGCAGGAACUCUUUGGAGUGAUGUAAUGUUGGAAUUUUGUUUCAUUUCCCCUUGACAAUGGUUAAGUACAUUAUGACCUGACAUUGAGUAGAAGGGACAUUUUUGGAACAAAACCUUGUUGAGGGUCUUGUAUUACCCACUGCCAUUCUUCAAGCGACAAGUCAUUACCUAGGUUGGACAAACCAAGGACAUGCAAGAGCCUGUUGCUGCUGGUUACACCAGUGGUGGCUUAGUCAUGUCUGGUAUCAUUCAGAUGCUGAGACUGGUUCUAUCUGACAUUUCCUUCUCUUAUAACUCAAGGUACAUCACCCACCCGGUACUGUAAUGACUGUCAAUCAUUGACUAUGUUUUAUUUGACAAUGUGUGUGUUCAUGACAAGCACAGCACUGUUCAUGUAUCUCUGGUGUGAGAUGUAACUUAUCAAUAAAUUGUUUGCACUUUG